AUUUUAUUGCUGCAGGUUAGAUCUGAAAGGUCCCCGAGGCUGCCCGUGUUGUGAAGGCGUGGUCUUCAGAUUGCAGCUGGAGGCACCUGCCUGCCAGAGGGGGACAGAAGACAAAGACACUGCGUGUGAGCAAUCUCCCAGCAUUUAUUGUACAAGUUAUGCACAACGAAAAUUGAAACUUUUUUCCAGUCAUUAAAGUAAACUCUUCAUCAAUAUGCCACACAAAGUUAUGGAAACCCUUUUGCAUUGUAUCUGACAUCUUUUGAUGAGAUGAUGGAAAAUGAUGAUCUGUAAGUCAACAAUACUCGAAAGAUAUAGCUAAUGAAGUAAUAGAAAAGGAGCGCCAGAGAGCACGGAGCCAAAGACCCCAGAGAACAGUGAACCACGGGCAGAACAUCAGCUCAGUGAGAGAUCAUCACCGGCUCUGGGCUGGGGAGUGCAGUGUUUUCCAAGAUUUCAGAUUGCUGUGAUCGUGAAUUUUCUGAGCGUCAAAUCCUUCCUUCUCUCUUUCAGUAACCUUGAACCCUAAGAGUGCACUGCUAUCUUGAAUAGUGGCGGUGGUUUUGUUCCAGGCUCU